GAUGAACGCUGGCGGCGUGCCUAAUACAUGCAAGUAGAACGCUGAAGGAAGGAGCUUGCUCUUUCCGGAUGAGUUGCGAACGGGUGAGUAACGCGUAGGUAACCUGCCUGGUAGCGGGGGAUAACUAUUGGAAACGAUAGCUAAUACCGCAUAACAGUAGAUGUUGCAUGAUAUCUACUUAAAAGGUGCAAUUGCACCACUACAAGAUGGACCUGCGUUGUAUUAGCUAGUUGGUGAGGUAACGGCUCACCAAGGCGACGAUACAUAGCCGACCUGAGAGGGUGAUCGGCCACACUGGGACUGAGACACGGCCCAGACUCCUACGGGAGGCAGCAGUAGGGAAUCUUCGGCAAUAGACGGAAGUCUGACCGAGCAACGCCGCGUGAGUGAAGAAGGUUUUCGGAUCGUAAAGCUCUGUUGUAAGAGAAGAACGAGUGUGAGAGUGGAAAGUUCACACUGUGACGGUAUCUUACCAGAAAGGGACGGCUAACUACGUG
rnacentral:rRNA from 1 species